CGCUGGCGGCGUGCUUAACACAUGCAAGUCGAACGGUAAGGCCCUUCGGGGUACACGAGUGGCGAACGGGUGAGUAACACGUGGGUGAUCUGCCCUGCACUUCGGGAUAAGCCUGGGAAACUGGGUCUAAUACCGGAUAGGACCAUGGACUUCACGGUUUGUGGUGGAAAGCUUUUGCGGUGUGGGAUGGGCCCGCGGCCUAUCAGCUUGUUGGUGGGGUAAUGGCCUACCAAGGCGACGACGGGUAGCCGGCCUGAGAGGGUGUCCGGCCACACUGGGACUGAGAUACGGCCCAGACUCCUACGGGAGGCGGCAGUGGGGAAUAUUGCACAAUGGGCGCAAGCCUGAUGCAGCGACGCCGCGUGAGGGAUGACGGCCUUCGGGUUGUAAACCUCUUUCAAUAGGGACGAAGCGCAAGUGACGGUACCUAUAGAAGAAGCACCGGCCAACUACGUG
rnacentral:rRNA from 1 species